rnacentral:rRNA from 1 species
UACGUAGGUGGCAAGCGUUGUCCGGAAUCAUUGGGCGUAAAGAGCGUGUAGGCGGCCCGGUAAGUCCGCUGUGAAAGUCGGGGGCUCAACCCUCGAAUGCCGGUGGAUACUGUCGGGCUAGAGUGCGGAAGAGGCGAGUGGAAUUCCUGGUGUAGCGGUGAAAUGCGCAGAUAUCAGGAGGAAUACCGAUGGCGAAGGCAGGUCUCUGGGCUGACACUGACGCUCAUGCACGAAAGCGUGGGGAGCAAACAGG